UACAGAGGGUGCGAGCGUUAAUCGGAAUUACUGGGCGUAAAGGGCGCGUAGGCGGCCUUCUAAGUCGAACGUGAAAUCCCCGGGCUCAACCCGGGAACUGCGUCCGAGACUGGAAGGCUCGAAUCCGGGAGAGGGAUGUGGAAUUCCAGGUGUAGCGGUGAAAUGCGUAGAUAUCUGGAGGAACAUCGGUGGCGAAGGCGGCAUCCUGGACCGGUAUUGACGCUGAGGCGCGAAAGCCAGGGGAGCAAACGGG
rnacentral:rRNA from 1 species